UGCAUAAUGGUGAUAUUAAAUAAAGAUAAAUAUAAUUACACGAAAUAAGUUGAGUUAAUUUUUGUAGGUUGUUAGACUUCCACGUAUAUGUUGCAUAAUAUACUGCCAAUCAAAAAUUAGGGGUGAUAGGCUUUUCAAAACUUAUGAUAUCUUGAUACUCGUGAAAGGUAUUAAGUACAAGAUUAGAUUUAAAGUGAUUAGGCUUUAAAUAUUUUUGAAAUUGUGAAAUAAGGCGUAAGGUUUAAUAAUCAUUAGCUAAUAAGUAGAAAUAUUAAAUUACUAAUAUUAUUUUAAUUAACGAGUAAUGGAUUAAAUUUUUAUACCUAUAAAUAAUGUGUCAAUUAGUAAGAAAUAGAGGUUUAGUUAAUGAACUCGGCAAUUGCUUUCUCAGCUGUUUAUCAAAAACAUAACCAUAAGGAUUAAUUUAUGGCGCUUUCUGCUCAAUGAGGUUUAAAUAGCCGCAGUACUUUGACUGUGCAAAGGUAGCAUAAUCAUUUGGCUUUUAAUUGAGGUCUGGUAUGAAUGAAUAAUUGGGGAAGCACUGUAUCAAUUAAAUGUUCAAAAUUUACUUAAGAGGUGAAAAUUCCUCUAUUUAAAAUAAUAGACGAGAAGACCCUUGAAAUUUUAAUAUAUAAAAUUUUUGUUGGGGCGACAGAGUAGCAUAUAACCUACUUUAUUGAUGGGGCACUUAUAUGACGUAAAACUAAAUUACUCAAGGGAUAACAGCAUAAUUAAAAAUUAGUUUGUGACCUCGAUGUUGGAUUAGGGUAAAUCUAACCCAGAAGGUGUUGAUUUGUGCUCUGUUCGAGCGU
rnacentral:rRNA from 1 species